rnacentral:rRNA from 1 species
GGAGGGUGCAAGCGUUGUUCGGAAUUACUGGGCGUAAAGCGCGCGUAGGCGGUUUUAUAAGUCAGAUGUGAAAGCCCUCGGCUCAACCGGGGACGUGCAUUUGAAACUGUGAGACUUGAGUAUUGGAGGGGGUGGUGGAAUUCCCGGUGUAGAGGUGAAAUUCGUAGAUAUCGGGAGGAAUACCAGUGGCGAAGGCGACCACCUGGCCAAAUACUGACGCUCAUGUGCGAAAGCGUGGGGAGCAAACAGGAUUAGAUACCCUGGUAGUCCACGCCGUGAACGAUGUCAACUAGGUGUUGGGACGGUUAAUCGUCUCAUUGCCGCAGCUAACGCAUUAAGUUGACCGCCUGGGGAGUACGGUCGCAAGAUUA